AGGAUCCGUUCUUGAACCU
rnacentral:snRNA from 1 species